rfam:Leptolyngbya sp. NIES-2104 DNA, contig: contig1.
GGUGCUGUAGGCAAAUUUGGUAAAGCCACAGAACUUUCAAUUCUGCGUUUGCGGGUUCAACUCCCGUCAGCACUG